rnacentral:lncRNA from 1 species
AACUCUCUAUGAAAUCUUUCUUUUCCACCUUCAUCGUCUUACACAUCCUUAUCUCCUCCAUCUACACAACCCAUCACAACAUCCAAACUACCAUAUUCAUUAACCUAUAAAAAGCUAAAAAAACUCACAUUAAAACCCCCAAACACAACCUUUGCUACACCAUCAUGAAACACUAAACUCACGGCCACAUCUAACAACCCAC